CCUACGGGCGGCAGCAGUGGGGAAUAUUGGGCAAUGGGCGCAAGCCUGACCCAGCAACGCCGCGUGAAGGUGGAAGGCUUUCGGGUUGUAAACUUCUUUUGACAGGGAAGAGUAAGAGACGGUACCUGUCGAAUAAGCCACGGCUAACUACGUGCCAGCAGCCGCGGUAAUACGUAGGUGGCAAGCGUUGUCCGGAUUGACUGGGUGUAAAGGGCGUGUAGCCGGGUUGACAAGUCAGUUGUGAAAUCCUGGGGCUUAACCGCAGAACUGCAUUUGAAACUGUUGAUCUUGAGUACUGGAGAGGCAGACGGAAUUCCUAGUGUAGCGGUGGAAUGCGUAGAUAUUAGGAGGAACACCAGUGGCGAAGGCGAGCUGCUGGACAGCAACUGACGGUGAGGCGCGAAAGCGUGGGGAGCAAACAGGAUUAGAUACCCCUGUAGUC
rnacentral:rRNA from 1 species